rnacentral:rRNA from 1 species
UACAGAGGGUGCGAGCGUUGUCCGGAAUCACUGGGCGUAAAGGGCGCGUAGGCGGCUUGAUAAGCGUGCGGUGAAAGCCCGGGGCUCAACCCCGGGUCGGCCGUGCGAACUGUCGAGCUGGAGCACUGUAGAGGCAGGUGGAAUUCCGGGUGUAGCGGUGGAAUGCGUAGAGAUCCGGAGGAACACCAAAGGCGAAGGCAGUGUCCUGGGGAGUACCUGACGCUGAGGAGCGAAAGCGUGGGGAGCAAACAGG